CCAUAAAUGAGCGGGUCGCGCGGCACUUUAAACACAUUUCUCAGUAAUCACUGACUAGAGAUAAGCCAAAAUGCCAGGAACAAAAGGUAAUAAGCAGGACAAGAAGUCAGCUACCAAGCAACCUCAGAGUCCUAAAGAGCAGCCGAAGAAAGUUGAUCAGAAAGGAGACGAUACUAAGAAGCAAGGAG